GACAGAGGUGGCAAGCGUUGUUCGGAAUUACUGGGCGUAAAGGGUGUGUAGGUGGUCGAAUAAGUCAGUGGUGAAAGCCCAUAGCUUAACUAUGGAAGUGCCUUUGAUACUGUUUGACUUGAGUGCAGGAGAGGAGGGUGGAAUUCCCGGUGUAGAGGUGAAAUUCGUAGAUAUCGGGAGGAACACCAGCGGCGAAGGCGACCCUCUGGACUGCAACUGACACUGAGACACGAAAGCGUGGGGAGCAAACAGG
rnacentral:rRNA from 1 species